CUAUAAUUCCCUUUUUGCUUUCUUUAGCUGGCCUCUCUCAUUGCUAGCCACCCAACAGGAUAAAACGAGUCUCUGAGAAGAAGACGCAAAGAUGAAAAAAAUGCCAGGCAAAAAUGAUUUUAUUUUAAAUGUUUUCGGAAAGGCGGUUCGCGUCUUUUCAGAUUCCCUGAACUGAUCAUCUCCAAGGUAUCACUCAAGUUAAAGAGAUGGGACUUUUUUUCUCCCCCGCCCUUCUCCACGCAUCAGUGGAACAGGAGGGAGGAGACGGAGGAGAGAAGAGGCAGGGAGGCGAAAAAGUGACAGAAGCAAGAGAGAAAGGGAGAGGGAUGUGGAAGGAAGGAAGCCAGGAAGGCAAGAGCAGAGGGGUGCUCGGCGUGCUGGAGAGCCUCCGAGGUCCGCCCGCCCGCAGGCGCCGGGACCCGCAAGGGCGGCGCAAGACUUCCCCGGCGCGCAGUCGGCGGCGCGGCCCCGGGAGCAGGCGGCACGCACCGCUGUCCUCCCGCUCCGCGGGGUCGCCCUGCCCUCCCGCGCCCCGGGGCUGGGGGCGCCACCUUGCCGGCGGCGACUGCGGCAGGGAACGCCGGGGGAGGAGUUUAGAGGAGAAUGAAUUGGACUGUGAGCCUUUCAUGAACUUCUCAAAAGAGCAGGAACAUGAGGCAAAAUGGUGAGGAAAACCCACAAUUCAAACUACCACAACGUGGGAAAGUUCUUAGAAUGACUGGAUCAAAAUCAUUGCCGUAUUGUCUCCAUGCGGUCACCAAUCUGUCAGCGGUGUGUAAGCGUGCAUGCUUUUUAACACGUCACCAAUCUAUGUCAGCGGUGUGUAAGCGUGCAUGCUUUUUAACACAUGGUCACCAACCUACGUCAGCGGUGUGUAAGCGUGCAUGCUUUUUAACACGUCACCAAUCUACGUCAGCGGUGUGUAAGCGUGCAUGCUUUUUAACACGUCACCAACCUACGUCAGCGGUGUGUAAGCGUGCAUGCUUUUUAACACGUCACCAAUCUACGUCAGCGGUGUGUAAGCGUGCAUGCUUUUUAACACGUCACCAACCUACGUCAGCGGUGUGUAAGCGUGCAUGCUUUUUAACACGUCACCAAUCUACGUCAGCGGUGUGUAAGCGUGCAUGCUUUUUAACACGUGUUCACCAAUCUACGUCAGCGGUGUGUAAGCGUGCAUGCUUUUUAACACGUGGUCACCAACCUACGUCAGCGGUGUGUAAGCGUGCAUGCUUUUUAACACGUGUUCACCAAUCUACAUCAGCGGUGUGUAAGCGUGCAUGCUUUUUAACACGUGGUCACCAAUCUACGUCAGCGGUGUGUAAGCAUGCAUGCUUUUUAACACGUGUUCACCAAUCUAUGUCAGCGGUGUGUAAGCGUGCAUGCUUUUUAACACGUGGUCACCAAUCUAUGUCAGCAGUGUGUAAGCGUGCAUGCUUUUUAACACGUGGUCACCAAUCUAUGUCAGCGGUGUGUAAGCGUGCAUGCUUUUUAACACGUCACCAAUCUACGUCAGCGGUGUGUAAGCGUGCAUGCUUUUUAACACAUGGUGUUAUUCAUUUAUUAAAAGUUUUUGAGUGACUAGCAGGAACCAAAUUUUGUUCUAAGCCCAG
rnacentral:lncRNA from 13 species